rnacentral:rRNA from 1 species
AGUUUGAUCCUGGCUCAGAACGAACGCUGGCGGCGUGCCUAACACAUGCAAGUCGAGCGCGAACGGAGCAAUCCUAGUAGAGCGGCGCACGGGUGAGUAACACGUGGGUAAUCUGCCUGAAAGUCCGGGACAACCUGCCGAAAGGCUGGCUAAUACCGGAUAAGCUCACAGGGUCCUCGGACCCCGAGAGAAAAGAUGGCCUCUAUUUAUAAGCUAUCACUUUCAGAUGAGCCCGCGGCCCAUCAGCUAGUUGGCGGGGUAAAGGCCCACCAAGGCUACGACGGGUAGCUGGUCUGAGAGGACGAUCAGCCACACUGGAACUGAGACACGGUCCAGACUCCUACGGGAGGCAGCAGUGGGGAAUUUUGCACAAUGGGCGAAAGCCUGAUGCAGCAACGCCGCGUGUGUGAUGAAGGUUUUCGGAUCGUAAAGCACUUUCGACCGGGACGAAAAAGCAUUGGCUAACAUCCAAUGCCCUGACUGUACCGGGAGAAGAAGCACCGGCUAACUCUGUGCCAGCAGCCGCGGUAAUACAGAGGGUGCAAGCGUUGUUCGGAAUUAUUGGGCGUAAAGCGCGUGUAGGCGGCUUUGCAAGUCGGGUGUGAAAGCCCUCAGCUCAACUGAGGAAGUGCGCCCGAAACUGCAUGGCUCGAGUACCGGAGAGGAUGGUGGAAUUCCCGAAGUAGAGGUGAAAUUCGUAGAUAUCGGGAGGAACACCGGUGGCGAAGGCGACCAUCUGGACGGAUACUGACGCUGAGACGCGAAAGCGUGGGUAGCAAACAGGAUUAGAUACCCUGGUAGUCCACGCCGUAAACGAUGAGAACUAGGUGUCGUGGGUGUUGACCCCCGCGGUGCCGUAGCUAACGCAUUAAGUUCUCCGCCUGGGAAGUACGGCCGCAAGGCUAAAACUCAAAUGAAUUGACGG